AUUCUCAGCUUUUUAUAUUUAUAUUUAUGUUAUUGAAAUCUUGUUUCUGCAUCAACUGAAUUUUUAAGCAAACAGAAACAGCUUUUAGACGUGUGCUUGGUAAUGAAAACACAUCAAAUUGGUGUUUUCUUGAGUGUUUUUUUUAAUACAAAAAACUUUUAAAAGCACCUCAAUCGCAACGUCAAAUAGUCCCUUAAAGCUGAGAGGUGGUGUUUUUCACCAUGUAAGAGGUUUUCAGGCGCAUAUGAAAAUCUCGAAGUUCCUAAGGGUUUGGGCGGUUGACUUUUGUUUGGAAAUUCACUUCUUGAAGAGAGGUGGAUUGUUUGAAGCCUCACAAAAAUUAAAAGAAAGUUACUCAAUCCUUUUCUUCCCAAUCUCUCCUGUACAACAAGUUUGUACUUACAAAUAUUUCCAGAAAAUAUAGAUAAAGUGCACAGGGUUGCAGUGGAUUACCUUGAAACAACUGUAUCACUGCUUGUGAGACAUAAUUGAGGAUGUUGCAGUACUACACUAAAAUAUGCUCUUUUGUAAAUCAAGCAUGCUACUAUUUUUAGAUUAUCUAAAAUUUGUCCCUAAGAAAAAUGUUUCUUGGAUGUUAUUUUCUGAAAACAAAUUUCUCAUGAAGUCUGAGGUCGCAAUAGGAGUCGUAAAGUUGCGUCUGGAUCAUACAUCAUGGAAAGAGCGGGCUACACCGUGCCAAGGCUUAUUACGGAGUAAUUCCAGAAGGGAAAUCAGUACAUAUUUGAGAAUUUGCUAUGAUUCUAUUUUUUCUGUUUCUUCCCUAAUUAUCCAAGAAAACGAGCCUUCUCAUUGCUUUAUUUGGUGGAUGCAGUUUGAUUUUUCAAGUUCUAUGCAGUUACCCCACCUUGCCUUUGUAUGCUGUAGUAUCCCAUUGAGUGGAGAUGGGCACCAGGUUCAAGAAAAAGGCAUGUUCGUUGAGGAAGUGCAGUUAGCAUUUGGUUGGGAAGCUCAGGAUGGACCGCGAGGGACCCAAACGACCAUCACGGAGCAUAUAGCCACAGAAUCGGCUCACAGUGCAGGCAAGCUUUCUUCUGCAACCCAAGCGCCUGCAUCUUGAAAUUUGGUUGUUUGGCAAAAAGAAAAAAACAAAGGACGCCCACUUACAUCUCCUAAAGCCUUAAAUAUGAGCAGAUUCAUCAUUCAACCAAACCAUUGUUCAUAACUUCACCUUUUCUGUGAAUAUUAUUUUCACUUUUUUCAGGUAAUUUGCCAUUCAUUGCUGCUCUUUUCAUACCACCUAAAAUCCCCCACAACCUACUGAACCGAAUGCAUUAAUUGUAAAUAAAAGAAAACCAAAGCCUCAAUCAGAUGCAGGUGAUUUUGCAGCCUUAUUUCUUAUUUCUUGCAACAUAUGUGAGACAUUUAGUGGAUAAAUCUCAGAUGGCCAAAGUCAAGCUAAAAAAGAAAUCUAGACGCAUCAAACAUGCUUUAUGACCAAAAAAAAGAAAAAAAAACAAGAAUAACUUUUGAUCUGAUUAUUGAAUCAGACUGAAAUUAAUCUAAAACUUUCUACAAGCCUCGUUCCAUAUAGGAUUGAUCCACUAGCCCCAGGUUAGGAACAAGUCCACAUUAAUGUUUUAGAUUUUACUUUAUUUUCUUAGUU